GCUUCCGGCCACACCUCCCUGAACCGCGCCCCGAAUCUGUCUGAUCUCGGAAGCUAAGCAAGGGUCGGGCCCGGUUAGUACUUGGAUGGGAGACCGCCUGGGAAUACCAGGUGCUGUAAGCC
rnacentral:rRNA from 1 species